UUGACCUCGGAUCAGGUAGGAUUACCCGCUGAACUUAAGCAUAUCAAUAAGCGGAGGAAAAGAAACCAACAGGGAUUGCCUCAGUAACGGCGAGUGAAGCGGCAACAGCUCAGAUUUGGAAUCUGGUCCCUUGGGGCCCGAGUUGUAAUCUGGAGAGGAUGCUUCUGGCGCGGCGCCGUCCGAGUUCCCUGGAACGGGACGCCGGAGAGGGUGAGAGCCCCGUACGGUCGGACGCCUAGCCUGUGUGAAGCUCCUUCGACGAGUCGAGUAGUUUGGGAAUGCUGCUCAAAAUGGGAGGUAAAUUUCUUCUAAAGCUAAAUACCGGCCAGAGACCGAUAGCGCACAAGUAGAGUGAUCGAAAGAUGAAAAGCACUUUGAAAAGAGGGUCAAACAGUACGUGAAAUUGUUGAAAGGGAAGCGCCCGUGGCCAGACUUGUGCCCGGCAGACCAUCCGGCGCCCCCGCGCCGGUGCACUCUGCCGGGCGCAGGCCAGCAUCGGUUUUCCUAGGGGGAUAAAGGCGGCGGGAACGUGGCUCCCUCGGGAGCGUUAUAGCCCGCCGUGUCAUGCCUCUGGGGGGACCGAGGACCGCGCAUUUAUGCAAGGAU
rnacentral:rRNA from 1 species